rnacentral:rRNA from 1 species
UUGAUUAUGACGUACUUGUACUGAUUGAGAUUUUAACACGAAGUGAGUGGCGAACGGGUGAGUAACACGUGGGUAACCUGCCCAGAAGCAGGGGAUAACACCUGGAAACAGAUGCUAAUACCGUAUAACAGAGAAAACCGCAUGGUUUUCUUUUAAAAGAUGGCUCUGCUAUCACUUCUGGAUGGACCCGCGGCGUAUUAGCUAGUUGGUGAGGCAAAGGCUCACCAAGGCAGUGAUACGUAGCCGACCUGAGAGGGUAAUCGGCCACAUUGGGACUGAGACACGGCCCAGACUCCUACGGGAGGCAGCAGUAGGGAAUCUUCCACAAUGGACGCAAGUCUGAUGGAGCAACGCCGCGUGAGUGAAGAAGGGUUUCGGCUCGUAAAGCUCUGUUGUUAAAGAAGAACGUGGGUAAGAGUAACUGUUUACCCAGUGACGGUAUUUAACCAGAAAGCCACGGCUAACUACGUGCCAGCAGCCGCGGUAAUACGUAGGUGGCAAGCGUUAUCCGGAUUUAUUGGGCGUAAAGCGAGCGCAGGCGGUCUUUUAAGUCUAAUGUGAAAGCCUUCGGCUCAACCGAAGAAGUGCAUUGGAAACUGGGAGACUUGAGUGCAGAAGAGGACAGUGGAACUCCAUGUGUAGCGGUGAAAUGCGUAGAUAUAUGGAAGAACACCAGUGGCGAAGGCGGCUGUCUGGUCUGCAACUGACGCUGAGGCUCGAAAGCAUGGGUAGCGAACAGGAUUAGAUACCCUGGUAGUCCAUGCCGUAAACGAUGAUUACUAAGUGUUGGAGGGUUUCCGCCCUUCAGUGCUGCAGCUAACGCAUUAAGUAAUCCGCCUGGGGAGUACGACCGCAAGGUUGAAACUCAAAAGAAUUGACGGGGGCCCGCACAAGCGGUGGAGCAUGUGGUUUAAUUCGAAGCUACGCGAAGAACCUUACCAGGUCUUGACAUCUUCUGACAGUCUAAGAGAUUAGAGGUUCCCUUCGGGGACAGAAUGACAGGUGGUGCAUGGUUGUCGUCAGCUCGUGUCGUGAGAUGUUGGGUUAAGUCCCGCAACGAGCGCAACCCUUAUUACUAGUUGCCAGCAUUAAGUUGGGCACUCUAGUGAGACUGCCGGUGACAAACCGGAGGAAGGUGGGGACGACGUCAAAUCAUCAUGCCCCUUAUGACCUGGGCUACACACGUGCUACAAUGGAUGGUACAACGAGUCGCGAAACCGCGAGGUUAAGCUAAUCUCUUAAAACCAUUCUCAGUUCGGACUGUAGGCUGCAACUCGCCUACACGAAGUCGGAAUCGCUAGUAAUCGCGGAUCAGCAUGCCGCGGUGAAUACGUUCCCGGGCCUUGUACACACCGCCCGUCACACCAUGAGAGUUUGUAACACCCAAA